CAGUGGGGUCAAAAAGGGGGGUAGUGGCUAAACUCCAGACACAAAACGGACCUUCUGACGUCACACUAUCACGUGACAUUUCUAGGUCACGUGGGUCAGCAGCCAGCACGCGCUUCUAUUACAGUAGGAAGGUUAGGCAUGGCUGCUCUGCGCAGCAGCAUCUU